rnacentral:rRNA from 1 species
AGAUUGAACGCUGGCGGCAGGCCUAACACAUGCAAGUCGAGCGGUAGAGAGGUGCUUGCAUCUCUUGAGAGCGGCGGACGGGUGAGUAAUGCCUAGGAAUCUGCCUAGUGGUGGGGGAUAACGUUCGGAAACGGACGCUAAUACCGCAUACGUCCUACGGGAGAAAGCGGGGGACCUUCGGGCCUCGCGCCAUUAGAUGAGCCUAGGUCGGAUUAGCUAGUUGGUGAGGUAAUGGCUCACCAAGGCGACGAUCCGUAACUGGUCUGAGAGGAUGAUCAGUCACACUGGAACUGAGACACGGUCCAGACUCCGUACGGGAGGCAGCGAGUGGGGAAUAGUUGGACAAGUGGGACGAAAGGCCUAGAUCCAGCCAUGCCGCGUGUGUGAAGAGGUCUUCGGAUUAGAAAGUCUAACGUUUAAGGUGGGAAGGUAAGGGUUAGUUAACCGUUAAGUUACGUUGUACUUAACGUUUUGAACCGUUACCGACGAAGUAAA